rnacentral:rRNA from 1 species
AAGACCCCUUGAAGAACACGAGGUAGAUAGGGCAGAGGUGGAAGUACAGUAAUGUAUGGAGCUGACUGUUACUAAUCGGUCGAGGGCUUAACCGA